rnacentral:rRNA from 1 species
ACUUGAACUUGACCUCAAAUCAGGUGGGACUACCCGCUGAACUUAAGCAUAUCAAUAAGCGGAGGAAAAGAAACUAACAAGGAUUCCCCUAGUAACUGCGAGUGAAGCGGGAAAAGCUCAAAUUUAAAAUCUGGCAGCCUUGCUGUCCGAGUUGUAAUUUAGAGAAGCGUUUUCCGCAUUGGACCGUGUACAAGUCUCCUGGAACGGAGCGUCAUAGAGGGUGAGAAUCCCGUCUUUGACACGGACGCCCAAUGCUUUGUGAUACGCUCUCAAAGAGUCGAGUUGUUUGGGAAUGCAGCUCAAAAUGGGUGGUGAGCUCCAUCUAAAGCUAAAUAUUGGCGAGAGACCGAUAGCGAACAAGUACCGUGAGGGAAAGAUGAAAAGCACUUUGGAAAGAGAGUGAAACAGUACGUGAAAUUGCUGAAAGGGAAACGCUUGAAGUCAGUCGCAUCUGCCGGGAUUCAGCCUUGUGGUGUACUUUCCGGUGGAUGGGCCAGCAUCACUUUUGGCUGUCGGAAAAGGGUAGAGGGAAUGUGGCACCUCCGGGUGUGUUAUAGCCCUCCACUAAAUACGUCAGCCGGGAGUGAGGAAUGCCUUUUCUGUAGGAUGCUGGCGUAAUGGCUUUAAACGACCCGUCUUGAAACACGGACCAAGGAGUCUAACAUGCCCGCAAGUGUUCGGGUGGAAAACCCGUGCGCGUAAUGAAAGUGAAAGUUGGGAAGGCUGUCAUGGCCUGCACCGACGCCCGGACCUGAGAUUUA